rnacentral:tRNA from 1 species
CGGGGCGUAGCGCAGUCCGGUUUAGCGCGCUUCGUUCGGGACGAAGAAGUCGGAGGUUCAAAUCCUCUCGCCCCGACCA